GGAGUGGUAGUUCAGUUGGUUAGAAUACCUGCCUGUCACGCAGGGGGUAGCGGGUUCGAGUCCCGUCCAUUCCGCCA
rnacentral:tRNA from 1 species